UCUUGUUUGGGAGUGCUUGAUUAACGGAAGGUGUAAAGAAUGGCGACGACGACCACCAGUAUUGGCGGCGGGGGCGGCGGUGGUGGUGGGGAGGAUAGAGUUAUGGCUACCGCUCAGCAGAUAGUCAAUAGCCUUAAUACUCCUAAGGAGGUUCGAGACGACAUGCUUUUGAUCUUCUCUAGUUUUGACAAUCGUCUUUCUAAUAUCACCAGUUUGGUCAACAGUGGGGAUUCGAAGAAGGAGGAGGAUCGAUUUGAAGCUGCUGAGAAGGUGAUUCUUCGUUGGGAUUCUGGUCAUGGAGCUUCUCGGAACUCGAUUAAUUG
rnacentral:misc_RNA from 1 species